AUUGAACGCUGGCGGCAGGCCUAACACAUGCAAGUCGAGCGAGGGGCGGACGGGAGAAUAAUGUGUGAGACACUGCCUGAUGGAGGGGGAUAACUACGGGAAACGGUAGCUAAUAGCGCAUACCCACGGGUGUGCCCAGGUGGGAUUGGCUAGGAGGUGGGGUAACGGCUCACCUAGGCGAAGAUCCCUAGCUGGUCUGAGAGGAUGACCAGCCACACUGGAACUGAGACACGGUCCAGACUCCUACGUGAGGCAGCAGUGGGGAAUAUUGCACAAUGGGCGCAAGCCUGAUGCAGCCAUGCCGCGUGUAUGAAGAAGGCCUUCGGGUUGUAAAGUACUUUCAGCGGGGAGGCGUUACCCGCAGAAGAAGCACCGGCUAACUCCGUGCCAGCAGCCGCGGUAAUUC
rnacentral:rRNA from 1 species